rnacentral:rRNA from 1 species
AGCGAACGUUUGCGGCGGGCCUAACACAUGCAAGUCGAACGCACUAGCAAUAGUGAGUGGCGCACGGGUGCGUAACACGUGGGUAAUCAACCCUUCAGCUUGGGAUAACGACUUGAAAGGGUCGCUAAUACCGGAUACGGCGCGAGAGGCUUCGGCUUCUCACGAGAAAGCCUCGCAAGGGGCACUGAAGGACGAGCCUGCGGCCCAUCAGCUAGUUGGUGAGGUAAGAGCUCACCAAGGCUAAGACGGGUAGCUGGUCUGAGAGGAUGAUCAGCCACACUGGAACUGAGACACGGUCCAGACUCCUACGGGAGGCAGCAGUGGGGAAUAUUGCGCAAUGGGCGAAAGCCUGACGCAGCCACGCCGCGUGAGCGAUGAAGGCCUGGUCGUAAGACUCUGUGGGAGAGACGAAGAAAGACCCGUGAAGAGCGGGCCGUUGACGGUAUCUCCUUAGCAAGCACCGGCUAACUCCGUGCCAGCACG